AGUGAACGCUGGCGGUAGGCCUAACACAUGCAAGUCGAACGGCAGCACAGGAGAGCUUGCUCUCUGGGUGGCGAGUGGCGGACGGGUGAGGAAUACAUCGGAAUCUACUUUUUCGUGGGGGAUAACGUAGGGAAACUUACGCUAAUACCGCAUACGACCUACGGGUGAAAGCAGGGGAUCUUCGGACCUUGCGCGAUUGAAUGAGCCGAUGUCGGAUUAGCUAGUUGGCGGGGUAAAGGCCCACCAAGGCGACGAUCCGUAGCUGGUCGGAAGGGAUGAUCAGCCACACUGGAACUGGGACACGGUCCAGACUCCUACGGGAGGCAGCAGUGGGGAAUAUUGGACAAUGGGCGCAAGCCUGAUCCAGCCAUACCGCGUGGGUGAAGAAGGCCUUCGGGUUGUAAAGCCCUUUUGUUGGGAAAGAAAUCCAGCUGGUUAAUACCCGGUUGGGACGACGGUACCCAAAGAAUAAGCACCGGCUAACUUCGUGCCAGCCGCCGCCGUAA
rnacentral:rRNA from 1 species